UACGAAGGGGGCUAGCGUUGCUCGGAAUCACUGGGCGUAAAGCGCACGUAGGCGGGUCGUUAAGUCGGUGGUGAAAUCCUGGAGCUCAACUCCAGAACUGCCUUCGAUACUGGCGACCUUGAGUCCGGGAGAGGUGAGUGGAACUCCGAGUGUAGAGGUGAAAUUCGUAGAUAUUCGGAAGAACACCAGUGGCGAAGGCGGCUCACUGGCCCGGUACUGACGCUGAGGUGCGAAAGCGUGGGGAGCAAACAGG
rnacentral:rRNA from 1 species